ACGUAGGGGGCAAGCGUUGUCCGGAAUUACUGGGCGUAAAGAGCACGCAGGCGGUUUGUUAAGUCGGAAGUGAAAGAUUAGAGCUCAACCACAGAUUUGCUUUGAUAACUGCUAGACUGGAAUGUCGGAGAGGGAGGUGGAAUUUCGGGUGUAGCGGUAAAAUGCGUAGAUAUCGGGAGGAACACCGGUGGCGAAGGCGGCUUCCUGGCCGACAACUGACGCUCAUGUGCGAAAGCUGGGGGAGCAAACGG
rnacentral:rRNA from 1 species